AGCGAACGCUGGCGGCAGGCCUAACACAUGCAAGUCGAACGAACUCUUCGGAGUUAGUGGCGGACGGGUGAGUAACACGUGGGAACGUUCCUUUUGGUUCGGAAUAACUCAGGGAAACUUGUGCUAAUACCGAAUGUGCCCUUCGGGGGAAAGAUUUAUCGCCAUUAGAGCUGCCCGCGGCUGAUUAGCUAGUUGGUGAGGUAACGGCUCACCAAGGCGACGGUCAGUAGCUGGUCUGAGAGGAUGACAAGCCACACUGGGACUGAGACACGGCCCAGACUCCUACGGGAAGCAGCAGGGGGGAAUCGUGCGAAAUGGGCGAAAGCCUGACGCAGCCAUGCCGCGUGAAUGAUGAAGGUCUUAGGAUGGUAAAAUUCUUUCGCCGGGGACGAUAAUGACGGUACCCGGAGAAGAAGCCCCGGCUAACUUCGUG
rnacentral:rRNA from 1 species